rnacentral:piRNA from 1 species
UCAAGAAGAGCAUGCUUCAGUUGGCUGGA